rnacentral:pre_miRNA from 1 species
UGAGCUUGAACCGUCAGUGGUCUUGUGAUUCGUUGAGGAAAUUUUGAAUCGAAUCACAGCCAACUGGUGGUUCAGCUUGU